GGAAGGAUCAUUAACAAAUCCAAUGCUUGUGAGAUGAUUUUAAUUAAUUAAUUGUCUUGCAAAUAUUAAUCCGCUGGCCUCGCAAGGGGCUAGUUGAUAGAUAACGAUAUAAAUGUGUGUAGUGUUGACAGUGUGUGAUAUUUAAUUAAUUAUUGACAACUUUUAACAAUGGAUCUCUAGGCUCUUGCAUCGAUGAAGAACGCAGCAAAAUGCGAAACGUGAUGCGAUUUGCAUGAAUCUGUGAGUCAUCUAAUCUUUGAACGCGAAUGGCACUGUUACGUAAGUAGCAGUAUGUCUGUUUGAGAAUCGCAAACACGAUCAACUCUAGUUAGAGUUGGGAUUGACCUCAUGCGCUGUUUAUAGCAGCAUUUGGUUUGAAUGAAUCAAGUUGAUGGGUUCCCCAGCAAUGCUCAAUGUGUGCUAGCGAGACAGUCGUCCCGAUCUCACAUUAGUGGUUUUGUUGCAGAGCUCUAAUCACGGCUUGUUUAAAUUUCUAUCUAUUACGAUCUCAAAUCAGGCAAGAUUACCCGCUGAACUUAAGCAUAUCAAUAAGCGGAGGAAAAGAAACUAACAAGGAUUCCCCUAGUAACGGCGAGUGAAGCGGGAAUAGCUCAAAUUUAAAAUCUGGCGUAAAAGCCCGAAUUGUAGUCUAAAGAGGCGCUAUCGGACAUGAAUCUGUUGUACAAGUUCCCUGGAAUGGGACAUCACAGAGGGUGAGAAUCCCGUCUGGACAAUGGGUGAGUGGCCAUAUGAGGCGUUCUCAAAGAGUCGAGUUGUUUGGGAUUGCAGCUCUAAAUGGGAGGUAAAUUUCUUCUAAGGCUAAAUAAAGGCAAGAGACCGAUAGCAAACAAGUACCGUGAGGGAAAGAUGAAAAGCACCUUGAAAAGGGAGUUAAAAGCGCGUGAAAUUGUUAAAAGGGAAACGAUUGAAGCCAGUAGGACCAUGGAGAGUUCAGCGGUACCUAUCGAGUAUUGCUGCGAUGAGAGUGCUUAAUUGUACCUCUAGCAGUGUGCGCAAGUAGACUAUCGUGCAUUCUUUUCAUGGUUAGUCAGUGACAAUUCGAGUUGCCGGAAAAGGACUUGGGGAAGGUGGCCAUUGCUUCGGCAUUGGCUUUAUAGACCCUCGUAGAUACGGCAGUUUGGAUUGGAAUCGGCAACAGCUAAUCGGUGCGUCAUAUCUGCAGUUGUGGACACUUGAGAAUCAGUAGAGUCUCAGGUGGUAUCUAUCUGGGAGACGAUGUUCAGAAUGCUGCGGUGACUACUGACGAAAUGGCUUUAAACGACCCGUCUUGAAACACGGACCAAGGAGUCUAACAUAUAUGCGAGUAUUUGGGUGGCAAACCCGAAUGCGAAAUGAAAGUGAGUACGAAUGGGAUCCCUUUUUUGGGCGCACCAUUGACCGAUCUUGAUAUCUCUUGAUAGAUUUGAGUUAGAGCAUAUCUGUUGGGACCCGAAAGAUGGUGAACUAUGCCUGGAUAGGAUGAAGCCAGAGGAAACUCUGGUGGAGGUCCGAAGCCGUUCUGACGUGCAAAUCGAUGGUCAAAUCUGGGUAUAGGGGCGAAAGACUAAUCGAACCAUCUAGUAGCUGGUUCCCUC
rnacentral:misc_RNA from 1 species